GUGAGUAUAAUUUAAGAAAAAUAUUAGAUUGUGAUUCUAAAAAUGAAAGUUAAACCCUCUCUAUGCACC
rnacentral:tRNA from 1 species